rnacentral:rRNA from 1 species
GACAGAGGUGCCGAGCGUUAGGCGGAAUCACUGGGCUUAAAGCGUGUGUAGGCGGAUGGGUAAGUACCUUGUGAAAUCCCACGGCUCAACCGUGGAACUGCUCGGUAUACUGCUCGUCUUGAGCCAACUAGGGGCGACCGGAACAAACGGUGGAGCGGUGAAAUGCGUUGAUAUCGGAAGGAACGCCGGUGGCGAAAGCGACACACUGGGUCUCAACUGACGCUGAGGCACGAAAGCCAGGGGAGCGAACGGG